UUUCCCUCAGGAUAGCUGGCACUCGCUUGAGCGAGUCUCAUCUGGUAAAGCGAAUGAUUAGAGGCCUUGGGGCCGAAACGACCUCAACCUAUUCUCAAACUUUAAAUGGGUGAGAUCUCUGGCUUGCUUGAACGUUGAAGCCACGAGAUUAUAUUAUGCAAUGGAUCAGAGUGCCAAGUGGGCCAAUUUUGGUAAGCAGAACUGGCGCUGUGGGA
rnacentral:rRNA from 1 species